CCGUAAUACCCUCCCUGUAGGUCCACAUACACGCCAUAAUACCCUCCCUGUAGGUCCACAUACAUGCCUUAAUAUCCUCCCUGUAGGUCCACAUACAUGCCGUAAUACCCUCCCUGUAGGUCCACAUACACGCCGUAAUACCCUCCCUGUAGGUCCACAUACACG